rnacentral:rRNA from 1 species
ACGUCCGAAACGAGCGCAACCCUUGUCAUUAGUUGCUACAUUCAGUUGGGCACUCUAAUGAGACUGCCGGUGACAAACCGGAGGAAGGUGGGGAUGACGUCAAGUCCUCAUGGCCCUUAUAGGUGGGGCUACACACGUCAUACAAUGGAUGGUACAAAGGGUCGCCAACCCGCGAGGGGGAGCCAAUCCCAUAAAGCCAUUCGUAGUCCGGAUCGCAGUCUGCAACUCGACUGCGUGAAGUCGGAAUCGCUAGUAAUCGUGGAUCAGAAUGUCACGGUGAAUACGUUCCCGGGUCUU